AUUCACCAACGCGGAUAAAGCACAUGCCGAGGAGGCGCUCAGCAGGCUAGGAUUGGAGGAUUGCUUCGAACAGAUACUUUGCUUCGAGAGCUUAAACGAUUCCUCGAAAGGGAAAGAAACUGUGGAUGAAGGUUCAACUGAAAUCUUCGACAUCAAUGAGUACAGUGCUUCUCCUAAUGCUGGCUUAUCACUUCCCAAAACACCUGUCGUCUGCAAACCUUUCGACGAAGCUUAUAAGGAGGUUUUCAAGCUUGCUUCCAUCAACCCUCAUCGCACGGUAUAACACCUGCACCAUUACUCAAAAAAUUUCAUCUAAAUCUUUCCCUUUUAAGUUUUAAGUUUUAAUCAGCAGCUCCAACUAAGCUGUUAUAAUUUCGCUCUUUCCCAGGUGUUCUUCGAUGACAGCCUUCGGAAUAUCCAAACUGGAAAAAGAUUGGGGCUUCGUAUGGGUAAGCCGCGGCAAAACUUUGCGCCUCCAAUGAUCUAUUCCCGCACCAUAUGAUCGAUAUUUUUGAAAACCGCUCUGAAAUCAGAGAUUUGAACAAAUUUUAGCUGGAUAAGUUCGAUUAUGAUGCCUGCCACAGGUAUCCAUCACUCGACAAUGUUUCAUAUUUGUAAAUCGUAAGAGCGAAUUGGUGAAACUAAUCAUUCAGAUAAUUCGCUGUUACUUGUAAGAUCAUGGGGGAACCAUUACAGAACCGGUUAAGAGUUGGUACUGGUUACGAGGUUUAGGUGGUUCAACCGGUUUUGAAUGAGUUAUCUCGAAUGUUUGAUGCAGUUUUAUCCAUGGACGAUUGCCUUACGAUACACUGAAGCCGGAUCCUGUUCUCAGAAGUCUCUUGCACAGCUUGCCAAUCCGGAAAGUGGUAAGCUUUACGAAUGUUCUAAUGAAUUCAAGUACCUUCUCUUCUUUCCAAAGCUUCUCUGUAGAAUCUCAUUCUUCGAUCUUUCUUUGUGUUCUUGCUUAAAGAUAUUCACCAACGCGGAUAAAGCACAUGCCGAGGAGGCGCUCAGCAGGCUAGGAUUGGAGGAUUGCUUCGAACAGAUACUUUGCUUCGAGAGCUUAAACGAUUCCUCGAAAGGGAAAGAAACUGUGGAUGAAGGUUCAACUGAAAUCUUCGACAUCAAUGAGUACAGUGCUUCUCCUAAUGCUGGCUUAUCACUUCCCAAAACACCUGUCGUCUGCAAACCUUUCGACGAAGCUUAUAAGGAGGUUUUCAAGCUUGCUUCCAUCAACCCUCAUCGCACGGUAUAACACCUGCACCAUUACUCAAAAAAUUUCAUCUAAAUCUUUCCCUUUUAAGUUUUAAGUUUUAAUCAGCAGCUCCAACUAAGCUGUUAUAAUUUCGCUCUUUCCCA
rnacentral:lncRNA from 1 species